rnacentral:rRNA from 1 species
CCUACUGGAGGCAGCAGUGAGGAAUAUUGGUCAAUGGGCGGGAGCCUGAACCAGCCAAGUCGCGUGAGGGAAGACGGUCCUACGGAUUGUAAACCUCUUUUGCCGGGGAGCAACGGGGUCCUUGCGAGGGCCCGAUGAGAGUACCCGGAGAAAAAGCAUCGGCUAACUCCGUGCCAGCAGCCGCGGUAAUACGGAGGAUGCGAGCGUUAUCCGGAUUUAUUGGGUUUAAAGGGUGCGUAGGCGGGCAUUUAAGCCGGCGGUCAAAUGUCGGGGCUCAACCCCGGCCUGCCGUCGGAACUGGGUGCCUUGAGUGGGCGAGAAGUAUGCGGAAUGCGUGGUGUAGCGGUGAAAUGCAUAGAUAUCACGCAGAACCCCGAUUGCGAAGGCAGCAUACCGGCGCCCUACUGACGCUGAGGCACGAAAGUGGGGUAUCGAACAGGAUUAGAUACCCCUGUAGUC